AUGGGUGUGGCUUGGGGAGCCCCGCACGCAUCAAGCAACGACGAGUGCAUCCAACGCCACCAUGCUGCUGGUCCUAGGGAACAAGGUAAAAGAAGGAAGAGAACAUUGGAGAAAAAGGCAGCUUUGCAAGGUACUAUGCGCCCCAUUCAAGGUUUACAGAAUUUGCACCAUCCUAUUACAGUUUGUUCUGAUGACAUAAUUGACCAGUUCUUCCUUGAGUAA
rnacentral:rRNA from 1 species